rnacentral:lncRNA from 1 species
AUGAGGGUAACGAGAGCCCCUGCCUCGAAGGUUGCUUUGAUUUUUUCAAAUCUGGUAAUAUUUGUAAAAUGCUUUGCAAAGCAGGAAAGGACUACGGAAAUGUUACCCGUUCUCCUGUUGCCUAACCAUCUUUCUUCCUCAUCACCAGGGUCUGCUGCCUCCUGUGCACUAGGAGGAGCCUCACACACACUCCUUGUUAUGGCUGGUGGAUCACCACUGCAAGACUCAGAGGAGCUUUCAUCUGAGGAUCUGACCCAAAGGGAGCUAAGUUCCAAAUAUCCGUCUAUGUAUCUACGUAGGCCGAAGGGAUCGGGGGCCGGAAAGAAAAAGCUACGCUCGCCCCCUGACCGCGGGGCUCUGGAGAAGAGGGUAAGAAAGCCCUGAGAACUCCCCCUCGCCUUCCCCUCAUGGCUCUGGUAAAGUCUUCUCAAGCUACAGGACCCUGGACUGGGGAAGGCUCUACCCCAACCCUAGCAGAACCUAGCAGCCUCCAAGGUCAGAAGCUUGCAGCCUAAUGGGGAAGGCAGCAUAUAUACAGAACAGGUUGGAUACAGGAAAAAUAGGACAUCAUUAAGGUGCCAGGGUUAAAAAGGGACCAGGAAAGGCUCCUGUGGAAGGGAGGAUCUUAACUGCGCAUAAAGGAGGCUGAGGAGGUCAGCACUUGGGAGCAGGGAAGGGGGAGCCUUCUAGACCCAGGGGUAGGGGACAGAGGUAGAGGGUCAUGUUGCUGGAACAGCCAGGGAUCCUGGUCAUUGCACCCAGUUCUUAGUGGGGACUGAGAGCUAAAGGAGCCUGGGCUACUCUGAGGUACUUUGAAUGCCAACAGAACAUUUUCUACUUGAUCCUGAGACCCUAGAGAGCCCCUGGGGUUUGAGGGGGAUGAGGGGAUGGAGUGAUCACCCUGUGCUUUAAGAGGGAUGGCAGGAG